AUAGAGAUAAUCUAAUUCGAACUAAAUUAGAAUACUAUAAAUAGUACAAGUCAUUGGUAUUAUUAAGUUUUUGGUCUUUGGAUAAAGUGAUGUGCAAUUUGUAUGAUUAUGAUCCUCUAAGAUUAAGUGGAUGGUUUGUUGAAUAAUAUGAUCUAACGGAUAGAAAUUGUCAGAAAAGUAGACUUAAUAGCCGAAAACUUAAUAACACUAAAUAUUUGGUGCUAUCAACAGUAUUAUAGCUGGACUCAACUAAUUUUUUAAUAUAGUUUAAUUUUAUAAUCUGAUUUUUUUUUUGAAAUAGUAAUAAAGAGUAGAGUAGGAUAGUAAUUAAUGUAAUUUGUAAUAUAGAAGUAAUAACUGAGAGCAAAGAUAAAGGAUAAAAACAUUUCUUUCAUAGGUUUUUAAAUACUUUUUUCUACGGCGCUGCGUGCGUAACUAUAAGCGCACGUACGUGUGGCCGCGCGGGGGUAGGGAGAGAGAUAAAGGCACGUAGAGGGGACACGUACUCGUGGUGGGGCCAAGCGCACUUGUCGCAACGGGACGGGUCUGUGAGAAAAAAAUCUAAAAUAUACCAGAUAUAUUACUGAUCUAACAUUUUUUAUUUGUAAAAUUAUUCUCUAUGGUACCGUUUGGUUCGGGUAUAAAUAAGAACUAGCUAUUACAAGGAUAGGUAUAAGUAUUGGGAUAAGAAAAAUAGUGUUUGGAUGAAAAUUGAGUUGUUUUCGGAGAUAAAAAUAAUUUUAGAUAGUUUUAUAUAGAAAAUAGAGAUAUUGGUGGGGAUAACCGAGAACUAUUAUUCUUUGAUAAAAACUUAACGUUUGGAUAUAAAGAGGGGAUAAGGGCCUAUUCUUAUUCCUAUCCCCUAACCAAACGCUGCUUAUAAAUUGAUACAUCUCAUCAUAAUUAAAAAUAUAUAUUUUUAUUAUAUUAUUUUAAUAAAAAAUAUAAUUAAUUUAUUAUUGGUGAUAUGGUAUAAAUGUGACUGAGUUGUG
rnacentral:lncRNA from 1 species